rnacentral:rRNA from 1 species
GCAUAUCAAUAAGCGGAGGAAAAGAAAAUAACAAUGAUUCCCCUAGUAACUGCGAGUGAAGAGGGACAAGCUCAAAUUUUAAAUCUAUCGGGUUUUACCUGAUCGAGUUGUAAUUUGAAGAAGCGUUUUUUGCGUAUUUGGUCAGCCUAAGUCCUAUUGAAUGAGGCAUCAUGGAGGGUGAUAAUCCCGUCCGGUUGAUCAUUUGCGUUUUACGAUACGCUUUCUAAGAGUCAAGUUGUUUGGGAUUGCAGCUUAAAAUGGGAGGUAAAUUUCUCCUAAGGCUAAAUAACGGCGAGAGACCGAUAGCGAACAAGUACCGUGAGGGAAAGAUGAAAAGAACUUUGAAAAGAGAGUUAAACAGUACGUGAAAUUGUUGAAAGGGAAACGAUUGAAGCCAGUCGUACCUUCGGGUAAUCAGCCUUUCGGGUGCGAUUCUGUGGAGUGUGAGGAGCUUAAACACCUUCAUGUUUUGCAUAUUCGUACUCUUGGGUGUACUUGCCCGUGUGGUUGGUUAACAUCAAUUUUGGUGGUCAUAAAAUGACUGGGGGAAUGUAGCUUCGAUCUUGUAUUGAAGUGUUAUAGCCUUCGGUAGAUGUGAUGAUCGAGAUUGAGGAUUGCAACGGAUACCCUUUGGGGCUACCUGUCUGAUCUCUGAUCGUUGCUUUGGUGCCGAAAGCUUGCUUACGGUUAUCAAAGUCGAUGGUCAAUAGGUUAGAACGGGUUAAAUUCGUUAAGGAUGUUGACGUAAUGGUUUUAAACGACCCGUCUUGAAACACGGACCAAGGAGUCUAACAUAUAUGCGAGUGUUAGGGUGAUUAAACCCUUACGCGUAAUGAAAGUAAUUUUGGUGGGAACACUUUUGUGCACCAUCGACCGAUCAGGAUAUUUUUUGAUAGAUUUGAGUAAGAGCA